GUGAGUAUAGCUCAGUGGUAGAGCACAUGAGGUCCUGGUAGCAUACAUGAGGUCCUGGGUUCAAUCCCCAGUACCUACA
rnacentral:tRNA from 1 species